rnacentral:tRNA from 1 species
GGGCAUGUGGCUUAGUGGUAGAGUGCUUGCCUAGCAUGCAUGAAGCCCUGGGUUCGAUUCCUCAGCACCA